GACACCGGCGUAGUGAUCGUCGAGAAGACGACGACGGCGGCGGCGGCCAAGGCGACGCCGGCGGCCGUGAAGAAGAUCGUCGAGGAGAAGAAAAAGGAGGAGGCCAAGAACAAACAAGAAGCUGUCACCGAUGAUAAGAAGAAGGAGAAGGUGAUUCCGACCAAGGUCGCCAUUGAUGAGAAGAAAGAGGAUGUAGUAGUGCCAAUGAAGGAGGAGUUCGUCAAGGAGAAGGAGAAGAUCACUGACGCCAAGAACGACGUCGCAUCAACCGAGAAUGUCGCCGCCGUCGAUGAGAAAAUUAAAGCAGAGGAGGACAAGAACAAGAACAAGAACGACGACGAGGUUGUUGCCACGGCAACAAUGGAGGCAGCCGUCGAGGAGGAAGACGACGACGAGGCGGCAUUAGCCGAGGACGACGACGACGACGACGAGCAGCCCAACGACGACGAAAGCAUCACCUUCGCGGUUGCCCCCGUCGCCGAGGACGACGAAGGCAGCGUCACCUUCCCCGGCGCCCGUGCCCGGCCGGUCGUCGCCAACGCCGACGAGGUUCAUCAGGAGGAUGACGUCACUAGUGUCACCUCGCCGACGACUGCCCCGGCCACCCUGGAGAAUGACACCAGUAGUAGCGCCGCCGCCGCCUUCCCGGCCGCUGUCCCGGCGCCGGUGGCCGGCGAGGAGGUAGCACAACUAGAGCAACCUAGCUCUUCUAAGUCCAACAAUGGCGAAAUGGAGGCGGUGACCGGAGUUGAUCAGGCAGAAGAUGCCAAGAAGGAGACAAGCAACAUUGAGGUGAUCAAUGUCGAACAGGAGGAGAUCAAGGUCGAGGAGGAGGAGGAGAAGAUCAUCGUCUCACAGGAGACAGAGGAGGAGGAGGAGAAAUCCGCUGUCAUUUCGAGAGAUGAGAUCACCAAGGUCGAAGUCGAACGCGAGGAGAUCAAGGUCGAACACGAGGAGAUCAUCGUCUCCCAGGAGACAGAGGAGGAUCAGAAAUCCACUGCCAUUUCGAGAGAUGAGAUGAAGACGUUCCCAUGUGCAGGGCAAUCAGAUGGGAAACAAACAAUUGAAUUGAAGGAGGCCAUGACAACAACAAAAACGGAUGAAAAAGGAGAGGAGCAGGUCGCUACGGAGAAAAAGGAUGACGAACAAGAACAACAAGCCACCGCCGCUCCAAUUGAGUCGCCCAAACAAGAACAACAAGCCACCGCCGAUCCAAUUGAAGCACCGCUGAAUUGAAAUUUGAAAAUGAGACGCAUCGUACCAAACAAAAUGCAUUGCUGCAUGCCUCCACGAAAUGUCCAAUUUUUCUCCCUUCAGUUUAUUAGCAAGAAACUGUACAUGAUGCUUAUCUGUUCUUGUUGGUUAAAUACUUCAUCUUCAACUGAGAUGAUGACUGCUGUUUUGUGCAAUUUCGAGUAUUUAACGUUGAUUAGCAUGUGCUGUAUAUGUAUUAUUUAAUAAGCACGUAGAUUAGGGGUUGCUUGGCUUGUAAUACAGCCACGAGGGGAUCAGUAAAUUGAUCUCUCAU
rnacentral:lncRNA from 1 species